rnacentral:precursor_RNA from 10 species
GGCGCUUCAAAAAUUCAGACAAUUUCCUGGCUGAAAGUAUCGCUAGGCUUUAAACUGACCUUCAAAUUAAAGUCUUCUAUACUUUUAGUCGGGUGACAAAACUGAACUUCACCGGAUAGU